rnacentral:SRP_RNA from 2 species
GGCUCGGACCCAUGCGAUUACAACGCCUCAAUCUUGUCAGGACCGGAAGGUAGCAGCAAUACGGGAUGCUUGUGAUAGGCGUGGACUCCGGGUCACU